GAUGAACGCUAGCGACAGGCUUAACACAUGCAAGUCGAGGGGUAACAGGGUAGCAAUACCGCUGACGACCGGCGCACGGGUGAGUAACGCGUAUGCAACCUGCCUAUAACUGGGGAAUAGCUCCCUGAAAGGGGAAUUAACACCGCAUAACACUAUUGAUUCGCAUGGAUUAGUAGUUAAAUGUAGCGAUACAGGUUAUAGAUGGGCAUGCGUGACAUUAGCUAGUUGGUGAGGUAACGGCUCACCAAGGCUACGAUGUCUAGGGGUUCUGAGAGGAAGGUCCCCCAACUGGUACUGAGACACGGACCAGACUCCUACGGGAGGCAGCAGUGAGGAAUAUUGGUCAAUGGGCCAAGCCUGAACCAGCCAUGUCGCGUGCAGGAAGACUGCCCUAUGGGUUGUAAACUGCUUUUAAGUAGAAGAAACACAUCUACGUGUAGAUGUCUGCCAGUAUACUAUGAAUAAGCAUCGGA
rnacentral:rRNA from 1 species